AAGGCGGGGAUUCUUCGGAACCUGUCGCGAAGAGAUAAGCCCAUUUCCUAUCAGCUUGUUGGUGAGGUAAUGGCUCACCAAGGCUUACGGGUAGCGGGUCUGAGAGGAUGAUCCGCCACACUGGGACUGAGACACUGCCCAGACUCCUACGGGAGGCUGCAGUCGAGAAUCAUUGACAAUGUACGAAAGUAUGAUCAUGCGACGCCGCGUGGAGGAAGACGGCCUUCGGGUUGUAAACUCCUGUCAGCAGGGAGUAAGGAUGGAUAACUUAAUACGUUUUCCAUUUGAUAGUACCUGCAGAGGAAGUCACGGCUAACUCUGUGCCAGCAGCCGCGGUAAUACAGAGGUGGCGAACGUUGUUCGGAUUUACUGGGCGUAAAGGGUCCGCAGGCGGUUUGGUGUGUCAGAUGUGAAAGCCCACGGCUUAACCGUGGAAUUGCAUUUGAAACUGCCAAACUAGAGUACUGGAGGGGAGAAGGGAACACUUGGUGUAGCGGUGAAAUGCGUAGAUAUCAAGUGGAACACCGGCGGCGAAGGCGCUUCUCUGGACAGAUACUGACGCUCAUGGACGAAAGUUAGGGUAGCGAAAGGGAUUAGAUACCCCUGUAGUCCUAACCGUAAACGGUGUGCGCUAGGCGUGGGUGGCUUUACCCCCAUCCGUGCCUGAGCUAACGCAUUAAGCGCACCGCCUGGGGAGUACGGUCGCAAGAUUAAAACUCAAAGGAAUUGACGGGGACCCGCACAAGCGGUGGAGCAUGCGGCUUAAUUCGAUGCAACGCGAAGAACCUUACCUGCCCUUGACAUCCUCAGAACUUGUCAGAGAUGACUCGGUGCCUUCGGGAACUGAGAGACAGGUGCUGCAUGGCUGUCGUCAGCUCGUGUCGUGAGAUGUUGGGUUAAGUCCCGCAACGAGCGCAACCCUUAUCCUUAGUUACCAGCGAUUCGGUCGGGGACUCUAAGGAGACUGCCGGUGACAAACCGGAGGAAGGUGGGGACGACGUCAAGUCAUCAUGGCCCUUAUGGGCAGGGCUACACACGUGCUACAAUGGUCGGUACAGAGGGUUGCGAUGCCGCGAGGUGGAGCUAAUCCCAGAAAGCCGAUCUUAGUCCGGAUUGCAGUCUGCAACUCGACUGCAUGAAGUCGGAAUCGCUAGUAAUCGCGAAUCAGAACGUCGCGGUGAAUACGUUCCCGGGCCUUGU
rnacentral:rRNA from 1 species